rnacentral:lncRNA from 1 species
CAUAGCUACAAAAUGUAGAAAGCAGAAAAAGACUGAUCUAUGGGGAGGAAAAAAAUCAACUUAUAGUGAGAAAUUUGAACCAGCUCCUUUCAAUAUUUUAUAGACCAAGAUGGAAAAGUCAACAUAAUACGAACGCAAUGCACAAGGAGAACAUAUAUUGAUGCCUAGUUUGGAGUAGCUAUGCAUCACUCGAAAAUAACUUCAUUCUGCAAUCGAAAGAAUAACAGCAAGCUCUCAUUGUACCAAGCACUCAUUCCUGUUUUGCUCUUCCCCGCUUCACUAUGUGAGGAUGAUACCAUGAGACGGCAUCAUCACUGAAACAGGUCCUCACCAGAGACCACACCUGCUGGCACUUUGAUCCUGGAAUCCCCUCUUCCAGAAUUCUGAGAAAAUAAGGUUUCAUUUUUUAGAAAUUAUGCAGUCUGUGAUAUUCUUUUACAGUAGCACAAAUGGAAGAAGACAGUAUUUAUCUACACUAAUUGUAAAUAUGUAGGUAUGUAAAAAUGCUUAAUUUUAAAACAUCUUCAAAGGUAAUUGACAUUACAAAUUACAACCUGUGAUGGGGUUUAAAACACGUUUAAAAAUAAAAUGUAGGAAAAUAAUACCACAAAUACUAGAAAGUGGACAUAGAAGUUUACUGUCAUAAGAUGUAUACGUUUAAGAACUGAUAUCGUACUGUUUGGAGGAACACUAUAAUAAAUGUAUAUACCAGAAACCUCAAAUAAGCAUCUAUAAAAACCAAACAGAGUUUUAGCUAAUAAGUCAAUAGAAGAGAUAAAAUGAAAUUGUAAAAAAUAUUCAAUCCAAAAGAUGGAAUGAUAAGAAGAAAAAAGAACAAAGAACAGAAAGAAUAAACAGAAAAUAAGUAGAAAUAUGGUCUAUUUAAACCAACUCAUAUAUAUGGUCACAACUAAAGUGGUUUAACACUGAAGUUAACAUAUUUUAGGUUUUCUAUACCCUUACUUUUGUCCACUUGAAAUCUGCUACACAGUGUUGUGUGAAUACUUACUAUUAUUAAACAGUUUCUACUAUUUUAUAUGUAAUACUUUUUAUU